UACGUAGGUCCCGAGCGUUGUCCGGAUUUAUUGGGCGUAAAGCGAGCGCAGGUGGUUUAUUAAGUCUGAUGUAAAAGGCGGUGGCUCAACCAUUGUAUGCAUUGGAAACUGGUAGACUUGAGUGCAGGAGAGGAGAGUGGAAUUCCAUGUGUAGCGGUGAAAUGCGUAGAUAUAUGGAGGAACACCGGUGGCGAAAGCGGCUCUCUGGCCUGUAACUGACACUGAGGCUCGAAAGCGUGGGGAGCAAACAGG
rnacentral:rRNA from 1 species